ACAAAGGCUCUUUUAAGAGCCAAAUCCACUUCCUCCAAAGAGCUUG
rfam:Tetraodon nigroviridis, WGS project CAAE01000000 data, contig: CNS0BPN2, chromosome: undetermined